GGUACCAUAGCUCAGCAGGUAGAGCAACGGACUGAAAAUCCGUGUGUCACUGGUUCGAUUCCAGUUGGUACCA
rnacentral:tRNA from 1 species